CCUCCCCCAGCCACCCUUUUGGGGACCUCUUGCCUCUCUGAGCUUCAGUGUCCCCAACCUCACACCUAGGCACCCCAGGAGAAGGGGUACACUACCCUUCCUGCAAGGCCCAGCCUUCCAGCCCGGACCAGGAGCCAAGAGGCAGCUGCCACCAAGCCAGAGCAGUCACUAGGUGACUCAUAAGCCAGUUUCCGCAAAGCGGCUGCCACAGUUUGUGGCCCCUGAGCCUGUACAGUGAGGCUCAAGAGGUAAAAAUAACCCGUGACAGGCCCUGCAGGAGCAGGCUGGCGGGCUUGGGGGGUGGGUCCUUCCAUUCACCUAACCCCACUCCCUGCAAAGCCUCGCUGCCCCUCUCCAGUGCCCCUCCCCCCAGCUGCCCCGUGCCAGGGCAGCGAGGUGCCAGGAGAACCUGCCCAGAGCCAGCGUUUGCGGAAUUGAGUUGCAUUAAAUCAGAUUGCUUCCCAAAGGCCCUUUGUGAACUCAGGAGGCUAAUGAAAUGCACGAGGAUAUUAUUAAAAUAUGUUCGCACAUGUUUAGAGAGAGUCUGCCCAGUGCUAAAUGGUUUGCUGCCUGAGUCCCGCUCUGUACCUUGUUUUUACCCCCUCCUUCCAUAAAGCUGCGUAGGGACCUCCCAUCCAAGGGGCUGACAUCGUGUCGAACUUGUCAUUAUUAGGCCUGGGCACUGUCAGACAUUCUGCUUUUGUCCUUCCUUUGGGUUCAGGACUUAAAAAAAUUUCCUUCUAAUUAGCCCUUCUUGGGCUAAUCGGCCCUGAUGAUAUUUUGGCUGACACCAAGGUGUCGUUAAACCCGUCUGAGACCUGUGUGCGCAGGGGCCUUGAGUGGGACUCUUGGGGGUAUUGCCUGGAGGAACCAUGGUCUGUGCAGCUGGCCCCAGGGUGGCCUAUUAGUCACCCUGUAUUUUUUCCACAGGGCCCCCUACUUACUGGAAGAAAGCCUGGGGCAGGAGGAAGCAGCUUUAAAACAUAGAUAUAAUGUAACAGUUUGUUGCAAAUGCUAAUCAGAUUUCAAUAAAGACUCUGCUGAGGAAGCCUUAGGGCUUGGAGUUUCUUUAUAAGAAAAGAUAGGAAGGAAGAAGGGGAAGAAACUGAAAAAACGAAAGAGACAAACAGCGGCCCUGGGUGGUUCAGAUGAUCCCGCCGGGAACUUUGCCGAUGGGUGUGGAGUUGGGCUGCAGGGCAGGGCCCAGGUGGCUUCUCUUCGACGAGAAAGACGCCCUGGCUGGGGCUGCCUGGGACUCAGUUUCCUUACCUGAAACAUGAGACCCGUGAGGGUUGAAAUCUAAAAUCCUACCAUCUUUUGAGGUGGGGCCUCUGGCUGGAGGCUUCCAUGCCCGGAAUGGUCCCCCUGCCAGUUGAGUUGGGUCCCCGGCGUGGUCUUCAAUUGCCCCAAAUUUCGAAUCUGGAGGAGGCUUGGCCAUCUCGGGGUCUUGCCACCACUUUAUAGAUGAGGGACGGUGGCGACGGGAAGGUUUUGCCCUAGGUCACCAACCCAGACUCAGGGUCACUUCUCACUUGAAUGUGGAACUCAGGCCAGAGUAGACCCACCUUGGGGAGCUAGAAGAAAUCGGUGGCACCCCUUUUGCACCCAUGAGGGUGGGAAGUGGGAUGCCAGACAUCUGGAAUGGCCUAACUUUAAAAAGACACCCCAGGGGCCCCAUCUUUCCUGAGAGUCAAGGGGCGAGGGAUGAUGUCUGAUGGGAAUUCAGUUUCCACAGCUCCCCCCCACCAUGGAAAAAUACGCCAUUCUUUAAAAAGCCAGGGGUCUCGGGAUUAAAAACAGCUGGCUCGAGUGACAGCCCGCCAGAGAUGACAGCCGGGAAGUUCACUGUGGCUCCUUUUGAGGGAGGGGUCGCCUUUCUUGUUGGUCUCUUUCAGUUCUGCGUUUCUUAGAAAUGACCCCGGCUUUCUCCUUCAGCUUCUGUGUUUGCGGGGAGAGGGGACAGAUGCUAACUGCUCUCCAGACUGAAUGAUGCUACCAUAGUCCUUGGCGCUUGUGGCAGCAUUUCUCCAGGGCCCUGGGAGGUGUCCCCUGCCCUGGACCCACCCCCCACACCUUUACGGUGGCCGUUUGGGUUUUUAAUACCGCCAAAGUCAUUGAGCCUCUGAUUCCUCUCCUUCAGCCAGUUCCAAACAAAUAGUCUAAAACAGCUUUCGGAAACUCCCAGGACACCCAGGGUGCUGAUGGCUUGUCUGGCACUUGCUGUUCAUGUGUAACUCUCGAAGCCAGGGCACCUCAACCUCGGCACCAGGAUGCUGGGCCAGACGGCGCCGCGUUGGGAGGGAGGGGAAGGUGGUCCCCUGUGCUGGAUGAUCUCUGGCUUCUACCUGCUGGAUGCCAGUAGCAUUUUGCUCUCGCCACCAAGCUGUAACAACCAGAAAUAUCUGCAGACGUCGCCAGUGUUCCCUGAGGGGCACAUCGCCUGGCUGAUCAGUUAUUGGUUUCUUUAAUCAACGAUUGGUUCCUCUAAAUUUGGGGGGUGGUGGGAGGCAAAUCUGAGUUGCCAGAAGGUGUCCAGUUCCCUGCAGAAAUCAGUCCCUGGAUAGAAAGGCUGUGGUCACACUCCAAGUUGGCGCCUGCCACUCACUCACUCAGCCUUUGCUGGGUGCCUGUCGUGUGCAGGGAAGGUUGGGGUGGGGGGUGCCCUCUUGAUGAAGUUCCCAGGUUUCAUUGUGGAUUCGCCUGUCUUCGGAGGAGAGACUCAGGCACCAGUGAAAGCUGGUAUUUCAGAACUUGGGUUAAAAACCGUGAGUGUUGAGAGCCAGCGUUUCCCUCAGCUGGCACUUUCAACCCGCGUGUUUUCCGACUCGGUUUUCGUCGGAGGUGUAACGAGGGGUUGAGUUUCGACUGGAUCUCAGGUCGGGCAGUUGGCCGCAGCUUCCCGGAGGUCUGGGUUAAGCCCGCAUGGCCCAGCGUGGCCCGGGGUCAGGGGCGAGCUCGGUGUUUGUCAAGACGCAGAAUAACUAACAGCUCCUGCGUGUGCACACACACGCGUACACCCACAUACACGUGCAUACUCACGCGUGCACAUGCGCCCACAUGCAUGCACGCGUAAACACCCUCGCAGUCGUCACACACACACUCAGCUGCUACCGCUGGCUUUCCCGCUGGCUUCCUUCUGAGUGGGGUACGGUGCCAGCUUCUCCUGGGCAUAUAAGAAGAAGAAGAGAGAAGAAGGUGCAUGCGCACAUCCCCCCCAAGAGCUGUGCGGACUUGGGCACACUCCCUUCGAGAGAAGUAAGGGGAAUGGAGUGGUGCGAGCGGCCGCCAGGCAAGGAGGGUGUCGAGAGGGCUGGUGGCCGCUGGCCUUCGGGACAGCAAGAUGCCUGUGCCCCCAGCAGCCCCAGAGCUGCGGCUAAAAACCCAAGGCCAGGGUUUUUAAAGGUUUAUGGUUCGGUCCAUCGUGAAAACAUAAGAAAAGGUUCGAGAGGAGGGUACCGGGGUAGAGCCCAGACCUCAGGGUCCGGGUGGCUUUUUCGCUUCAGGUAUCCUCAGCCAGAGACGAAGUUUGCAGGCAGCUCAGCAGCUGGGAUCCUGCCCAGAGAGAAUAACUGACAAAUCGAACCUGGGAGGCUGUGCUCCUGCCGCCUUGGGCUCUCGUAGAGCGCACGUGCCGGGGGAGGGAGAUCAAAGCCAAGGGCCCACUUUGUGCUUUUCCAAAGUUGGAUACAGAGAGCUUAUUAUGUGCCAGGUACUAGUGACGCAUUUUUCUCAGUCUUCAAAACAACUCUGUGAGAGAGCUCUUGCUGCCACCGAUUUUGCAGAUGCCGAAAUGGGAUCAGAGAGGGUAAGACACUUGCUCCAGGUCACACAGCCAGGCAGUGACGCUCUGUUGGGAUUCAGACCUAGGUUUCCGGCUCCCACCAUGUCUCCGCACACCGCCUGAGCCCCAGCAUUUUCUUUGCGAGACUUGACACCGCAGUGGUAUUUUAGGCUUCGUGCUAGGACAGCAAGACCCCCCCGGGGCCUGCCUUCAGGGACGGGCGCUAACAAACCUCAGCGCUCGCAGCCAGGCUCGUCCCAUCCUGGCAGUGCCCCGGCCGUUCCAGGUGCUGGGACCGUCACAGGAGAACAGGGACACAACCCUGCCUCCUGAGAGCUGCCGUUCCGGCGAGGACACACAGGAAGAAUUGAGUUCAUUUCAGGGAAGGGACCUGAGAGGCGACCAGAAUGGGACCACCCGCAAAGCCUCUUUCAGGGGGCGCCCCCCAGGCUCCCAGGCUGGUCGUGCUGUUUGGGAUUCAGGCACAGCCCUUGAGUCUCUCCUGUCAGACCUGCCACUCACUCUUGACUGCUGUGUAGAGAGCUGUGUCACGUCCGUUCCCUCUGGUCACCAGGCACCAAGGGGGUUGGGGACCGUGUCUGCUUUGUUCAUUAUAUCUCCCCAGCCUGACAGGUAGCUCGUAUGUGUAGGAGGCGGGAAGGAAGUGGGCAGGGCGGGCGGACGGACAGGCUUGUAGAAGAAAAUCCUGGACAGAGAAAGUGCCGGACAGAGAGAUGCCGUCAAGACAGAGGCUCUGAAAACCAUCCUUUCUCAGGCGAGCACAGAAUCUCUCCUGAGCCUCCACCCGCCCUCCGUGAAACGCUUCCUGCUCCACCGGCUCACAGCACAGUCGCCUGAGCCAUGAAAGGGCCUUGGGCACAAAGUCUUAUUUCGAAGAUUCCAGAGACAGUUGCACUGUUUUGGGCAGGAAGCGGUGCCUUCGCCUCCGGAGACGGCAAAGCUGCACUUGGGGACCCGUGUGGACGUGUCCCCACCUCAGCCCAGUUGUCCCCGGAGAGAUCUGUGGCUUUAGUGCUGAUAAGAGAGAGCAUCGAAAUGACAAAUGACAAAAACGCAUCGCCAGGGCCUGUCCCUCGUCCCAGAAGGAGAAUUUCUAGGGCAACUCUUCUCUGCACACACUCGCCCCAGACUUGGAGCGGUUUUCAGCUCCUCUGCCACCCGUUGGCACCCACGGGUGGAGCUGGUGUUUGCUCAGAUGUGACGUUGAGAUGCCACGCGUUGUGAGGAGUUAGGUGUGACUCACCUUCAGCGGUACCAGGUGGCGAUCGGGUCGCCCUGGUGGUCCAGCAGUUCUAAUGUGUGUUUGUUUUCCACUGGGCUGGGGGUGGGACAGAACAGGGCUGGGUCACUUGGCUUCCUGUCGGCGCCCGCAGGGAGCUCGCUGGGACGUCAGAAGCACUGGGAGAGGCAGACUCUGGCUUCCCUUCCCUUCACAUAUGUUUUAACUACAGCCAUUUAUUAUUGUAUCAGUGGGUUUAGGAAGUGGUUCUAGUGGCAGGAAAGAGAGUUUUAAUUAUUCGGUAACAAGCGUAAAUUCCCCAGUGGCUCUGGGAUCUGAAUGCUUGGGUAAAGUUUGCUUCUGGCCUCUGCAAACCCGUCCUCCAGGAAGGGGCUCCCUGUGACCCCCAGCAUGCAGCGCUGGGCUCCCCCAGGCUGGACAGAUACAGCCAAAUCCUCUGAACAGUCAGUCACGCAUGGGCAAGACACCACCUUGCCUUCUAAGCUGGGAGGAAUCGCCCCCCAUCUUUUGUCUCUAACAGGGACUUUGGUGGCAGGGGGAGGGGUUGCAUGUCCAGUCCUGGUGAGGGUUGGUUGAACUUCUUUGUGUGAUCUUGGCACAAAGUAGGUGUUCAGUAAACAGGGACACAUUUGGUGAGAGAAUGGAGUUCUCAUGGCCUCGUCCCCACCUCGUGGCUGCUGGGAGCUCGCAGUGAUGAUCCACAAACCGCUCUCGUGUGACAGGGCCUGUCUGUGGCAGCUGUCACCUUUGAUCUUCUCUGAUGGGGGCAUCAUUGAUUCCUGGCGUGCGGGUCACGUGGGCUUCAGGGGUGGGACAGUCUCUGUUGGUCCUUAAGGUCUCCAGGAGCUGAUGUGUCCGCCCCGGGGGUAAAAGUGACGGACCCGGCUGUGGCUUUGUGGGGACAUCAGUAGUUUAGAACAUAGAAACAUGUGCUUUUAUAUAUACAACUAUACAUCUCAGACUAUGUGAAAUAUGUAUAUGUUUUUUAUGAUUGUAGACUAUUUUGAAAUGCGUGCCUCCCUCUCACCCCGCCGCCCCAAGGCUGGAGACUCCUCUGAGGUCCCUCAACUGGAGUCCCCACUGCUGUGACCAGGACUGAGCCUGAGCCUUCCCCUGGCUUUGCCCUGAGGUCGCUGGGGCAGGUGAAACUGGCUUCCCCGCCUCUGACCUCAGAAGCGGGAGCAGUGGGGAGCUGAGUCACUUUUCCAGCAAAGUGUGGGCCAAGCCAGCUGCGCUUUCCCAGACGAGGUUCUUCAGCCCCAGUGGGCCCGGCUACCUGGUCGUGCCCUGGUCCUCCGAGCUGAGCGCCCCAGCCUGCUGUGCGCCCCACCUGCCUGGCCUUGCCCAUGAGCGUCUGGGCAGUCAGUGGUAAGUGGGGCGGCUCCUGAGAGCAUAAGCCAGGCCUAAGCUCGUUUUUGAUCUCACCUGCGUCGGUUUGCCCGCUAGGGUUGGACGCCCCCGACGGAGAAGCUUUUUCAGGCUUUGCAAAAGCUGUCUGAUAAGGUUCAGAUGUCUGGCCAACAAGGUUCAACCCAAGCCAUGUGGGGUGAUUCAUCCAAGAGGCCACAUUUGCAUUAGGAAGUUCUCAGAAUUUGCAUGUGGCCACAACAAACGCCAUUUCUUCAUCAGCCUAAGUUUUAUGGCAGGUAAAAUCGCUUUGAUCUGUUAUACCUCCAACUGAUGUCAGCUGAGAGGUGGCGUGAGAAUUUGGUCUUGAAGAUGAUGUGUUUCAAGUCUCAUCACAGAAGGGAGAACCUCUGUGUUCUAUUGCUACACAUAAGGAAUAAAAAAUAAAAGUUGAUGCCAAGA